rnacentral:rRNA from 1 species
UACAGAGGGUGCAAGCGUUAAUCGAAAUUACUGGGCGUAAAGGGUGCGUAGGUGGUUUGAUAAGUUAGAUGUGAAAUUCCUGGGCUCAACCUGGGGACUGCGUCUGAUACUGUCAGGCUAGAGUUCUGUAGAGGAAGGUGGAAUUUCCGGAGUAGCGGUGAAAUGCGUAGAUAUCGGAAGGAACAUCGGUGGCGAAAGCGGCCUUCUGGACAGGAACUGACACUGAGGCACGAAAGCGUGGGGAGCAAACAGG